rnacentral:rRNA from 1 species
UUGGAGGGCAAGUCUGGUGCCAGCAGCCGCGGUAAUUCCAGCUCCAAUAGCGUAUAUUAAAGUUGUUGCAGUUAAAAAGCUCGUAGUUGAAUUUCGGGACCGGUGGGUUGGUCGUGCCUCCGGUACGUACUGGUCUUACUGGUUCCUCCCUUCUGAAGAACCAYGAUGUCAUUAAUUUGGUGUCGUGGGGAAUCAGGACUGUUACUUUGAAAAAAUUAGAGUGUUUAAAGCAGGCUAAAGCUUGAAUAGAUUAGCAUGGAAUAACGAAAUAGGACGUUUGAUCUUAUUUUGUUGGUUUCUAAGAUCGACGUAAUGAUUAAUAGGGAUAGUUGGGGGCAUUAGUAUUCAAUUGUCAGAGGUGAAAUUCUUGGAUUUAUUGAAGACUAACUACUGCGAAAGCAUUUGCCAAGGAUGUUUUCAUUAAUCAAGAACGAAAGUUAGGGGAUCGAAGACGAUCAGAUACCGUCGUAGUCUUAACCAUAAACUAUGCCGACUAGGGAUCGGAUGAUGUUAAUUUUUUAAUGACUCAKKSGGCGCCUUACGGGAAAC